rnacentral:lncRNA from 1 species
CUCUGGAACAGAGCGAACUCAAAAAGCCCAUCGGCGCAGGGCGCGCUUCGCAGCCAAGCCCUGCCACUCUCCAGAGACUGUGAGGUGAUUCUCCUUCGUCACUGCUUGGACCAGGAACCACAGCCCUGCAGUGGUUGGCAGUUUUCCUCAGCUUUGCAAGAGAGAGAGAGAUUUGGUUGGAAUGAAACCUUGCUCUACGUACAACCUGCUUGAGAUGCAGCAUUGAAAGUCCUGGAAGGUGGCACAGGCAUCAGGAAGUACGAAAUUUGAUCUACAUUACAAAUGGAAUCAGAAAAUGUCUUGGAUUUUGCAUACGUGUAUCAACACUUCCAAUCCAGUGAACUGUGUUGAGAAGAGUGAAAAAACCUAAGUGCUGUUUCUUGCACAAAAUGAAGACAGGGAGCUACAGGGAGAGUACAUGGGCAAAUUCCUUUUUUCCUAAACUCUAGAGAAACUAAUGAACAGGCAAACC